UGGGGAAUUUUGGACAAUGGGGGAAACCCUGAUCCAGCCAUCCCGCGUGUGCGAUGAAGGCCUUCGGGUUGUAAAGCACUUUUGGCAGGAAAGAAACGUCAUGGGUUAAUACCCCGUGAAACUGACGGUACCUGCAGAAUAAGCACCGGCUAACUACGUGCCAGCAGCCGCAGUAAUACGUAGGGUGCAAGCGUUAAUCGGAAUUACUGGGCGUAAAGCGUGCGCAGGCGGUUCGGAAAGAAAGAUGUGAAAUCCCAGAGCUCAACUUUGGAACUGCAUUUUUAACUACCGGGCUAGAGUGUGUCAGAGGGAGGUGGAAUUCCGCGUGUAGCAGUGAAAUGCGUAGAUAUGCGGAGGAACACCGAUGGCGAAGGCAGCCUCCUGGGAUAACACUGACGCUCAUGCACGAAAGCGUGGGGAGCAAACAGG
rnacentral:rRNA from 1 species